UAUGUGAUCGUCUCUCGCAUAUCAAUAAGCGGAGGAAAAGAAACUAACAAGGAUUCCCCUAGUAACGGCGAGUGAAGCGGGAAGAGCUCAAAUUUGGAAUCUUAAAGGGUUUCCCUUUACGAAUUGUAGUUUAAAGAAGUGUUUUCUGUUGAGGUUUUGGUAAAAGUUCUUUGGAAUAGGACAUCAUAGAGGGUGAGAAUCCCGUAUUUGACCUUUACUUUCAACUUUGUGAUACACUUUCAAAGAGCCGGAUUGUUUGGGAAUGCAGUCCAAAAUGGGUGGUAAAUUUCAUCUAAAGCUAAAUAUUGGCGAGAGACCGAUAGCGAACAAGUACCGUGAGGGAAAGAUGAAAAGAACUUUGAAAAGAGAGCUAAACAGUACGUGAAAUUGUCAAAAGGGAAGCGUUUGACACCAGUGUUGUUUUUCUGAAAAUCAAUUAAAGAACUGUUUAUGCUAAGCUGUUUAGACUUUAUCAGCUAUCUGUUUAGUUUUGAGCUUUUCUUCAAUGCACUUUUCAGUUAACAAGUCAACAUCAAUUUCUUUUGCUGUAAAAAGCUUGAGGAAGGUGGCUUGAGAUUCGUCUUAAGUGUUUAUAGCCUCUUGCCUAUGCAGUCGGAGAGAUUGAGGUCUGCAGCGUAGAUCCUUCGGGGCUAAGUGCAUUUGUGCUAAGUUAUAGCAUUUUAUAGACAACUUGUUGACUAUGAUUUGUCUUGUAGCUUACUCGCUUAUGUUAUUUUACCUACGCUUAGGAUGUUGAGCGCAUGUCUCUCUCU
rnacentral:rRNA from 1 species